GACGAACGCUGGCGGCGUGCUUAACACAUGCAAGUCGAACGAAGUGGCGAACGGGUGAGUAACGCGUAAUCAACCUGCCCUUCAGAGGGGGACAACAGUUGGAAACGACUGCUAAUACCGCAUACUGAAGGAGGGGAUUGCGUCUGAUUAGCUAGUUGGAGGGGUAACGGCCCACCAAGGCGAUGAUCAGUAGUCGGACUGAGAAGAUUGACGACCACAGGGGGACUGAGACACGCGCCAGACUUCGACGGGAGGGAGCAGUGGGGAAUCUUCCGCAAUGGACGAAAGUCUGACGGGGCCACGCCGCGUGGGUGGUGACGGCCUUCGGGUUGUAAAGCUCUGUUAAUCGGGACGCGGUACCGGAAUAGAAAGCCACGGCUAACUACGUGCCAGCAGCCGCGGUAAUAC
rnacentral:rRNA from 1 species